UUUUAUGGCCAAUCAAAGACUGGUGUGAGCAAUGAUGGCAUUGAUCCUUCAAGAUCACGUGGAGGCGUUCAUGAGAACUGCAUAAAGUACUGUCACUUAAACUGCUCUGUUACUUUUCUUCCUAUUACUUGUUAUUUUAAUUGGUUUGCUGAAGUUAUUCCUGUUUUGGUUAUAAAGUUUUGUCCUCUGAUAUAAAUCGUCCCUCCAACAUGUUGGAGUGCAGGAACAUUAUGCUUGUAGCAGGGACUAAUUUUUAUUGAUCACUUAAAAUUUUCUGUUCAAUUAGCCCAAACCCAAAUUCAAUUCACUGAUUUACACUGCCCCCAUAUGCAUGUUCAUGUGCUGUGUGGAGUGAAAACUAGUAGGAUUUGGAUCCUCUCAUUUUUGGCUAAACAUGACCUAUCAUGUUUGUGUAAUCUUAAUCCUUAGAUUGAAACAAAAUGAUUCAAAAAUUAAAAUGUAAUUUUUGGAGAAUAGGUGGUUAUAUGCUAAAUAAUGAAAUCUCAAUCAUUCAUUUUUAAUUGAAGGAUUGAUGAUUUGUGUAAAUAUGAUAAAUCAUAUUUGCACGAACAUGAGAGUAUCUUAAUCCAAAGGGGUGUGAUUUAGUUGGCCAUGAUGUCUUUAACCACCUUUAGAUUUUGUGGAGAUCAUUGAAUAAUGCUAUGUUUCUUGGAGCUAUAGUUGCGUUGUGUCUCUUGGGGAGGAGGGCAGUUCCAGAACGCUGCGCUUCAGCACUUCAGGAUUAGAUGGGAGAGUGGUUAUCUGGGCUCUGGAGAACCAGGAAGAUCUAUCCGAAUAUCUGUGAAGGAUUUCAUAUUUUUCAAGCCCGUAUCUGGGAAUAUCUUUGAGCAAGUAUUGAAUACUGGAAUAUGCUUUUUUAUAUCAUCAAUUGGCCAGGAGCCCUCAAACUCAGCUAUGUAUAAACUCACGUGGUGCCAAGAUAAUAUUAGCUUU
rnacentral:misc_RNA from 1 species